GAUGAACGCUGGCGGCGUGCCUAAUACAUGCAAGUAGAACGCUGAAGGAAGGAGCUUGCUCUUUCCGGAUGAGUUGCGCACGGGUGAGUAACGCGUAGGUAACCUGCCUGGUAGCGGGGGAUAACUAUUGGAAACGAUAGCUAAUACCGCAUAACAGUAGAUUUUGCAUGAUAUCUACUUAAAAGGUGCAAUUGCACCACUACCAGAUGGACCUGCGUUGUAUUAGCUAGUUGGUGAGGUAACGGCUCACCAAGGCGACGAUACAUAGCCGACCUGAGAGGGUGAUCGGCCAGACUGGGAGUGAGACACGGCCCAGACUCAUACGGGAGGGAGCAGGAGGGCAACGUGGGCAAUGGACGGAAGUCAGACCGAGAAACGCGGCGUGAGUAAAGAAGGUUUUCGGAUCGUAAAGCUCUGUUGUAAGAGAAGAACGAGUGUGAGAGUGGAAAGUUCACACUGUGACGGUAUCUUAUCAGAAAGGGACGGCUAACUACGUG
rnacentral:rRNA from 1 species